AGGGAAAGGCGAAAAGAACCCCGGCGAGGGGAGUGAAAAAGAACCUGAAACCGUGUACGUACAAGCAGUGGGAGCCCCACCACCAAAGCAUUCUCUGGUGUUGAAGGCCCUGCAAAGCAGCAUCGCGGUGGCGGAGCGUCGUUUGCGACGCCCAACACACAAAACAAGCGGUGAGUGCUUUGGGGUGGGGUGACUGCGUACCUUUUGUAUAAUGGGUCAGCGACUUAUAUUCUGUAGCAAGGUUAACCGAAUAGGGGAGCCGGAGGGAAACCGAGUCUUAAUUGGGCGUUAAGUUGCAGGGUAUAGACCCGAAACCCGGUGAUCUAGCCAUGGGCAGGUUGAAGGUUGGGUAACACUAACUGGAGGACCGAACCGACUAAUGUUGAAAAAUUAGCGGAUGACCUGUGGCUGGGGGUGAAAGGCCAAUCAAACCGGGAGAUAGCUGGUUCUCCCCGAAAGCUAUUUAGGUAGCGCCUCGUGAAUUCAUCUCCGGGGGUAGAGCACUGUUUCGGCUAGGGGGCCAUCCCGGCUUACCAACCCGAUGCAAACUGCGAAUACCGGAGAAUGUUAUCACGGGAGACACACGGCGGGUGCUAACGUCCGUCGUGAAGAGGGAAACAACCCAGACCGCCAGCUAAGGUCCCAAAGUCAUGGUUAAGUGGGAAACGAUGUGGGAAGGCCCAGACAGCCAGGAUGUUGGCUUAGAAGCAGCCAUCAUUUAAAGAAAGCGUAAUAGCUCACUGGUCGAGUCGGCCUGCGCGGAAGAUGUAACGGGGCUAAACCAU
rnacentral:rRNA from 1 species